rnacentral:rRNA from 1 species
CCUACGGGCGGCAGCAGUGAGGAAUAUUGGUCAAUGGGCGCGAGCCUGAACCAGCCAAGUAGCGUGAAGGAUGACUGCCCUACGGGUUGUAAACCUCUUUUAUCAAGGAAUAAAGUGAGGCACGUGUCCCUUUUUGUAUGUACCUUAUGAAUAAGGAUCGGCUAACUCCGUGCCAGCAGCCGCGGUAAUACGGAGGAUCCGAGCGUUAUCCGGAUUUAUUGGGUUUAAAGGGUGCGUAGGUGGGUUGUUAAGUCAGUGGUGAAAGUUUGCGGCGCAACCGUAAAAUUGCAAUUGAAACUGGCAGUCUUGAGUACAGUUGAGGUAGGCGGAAUGCGUGGUGUAGCGGUGAAAUGCUUAGAUAUCACGAAGAACUCCGAUUGCGAAGGCAGCGUACCGGCGCCAGACUGACGCUGAGGCACGAAAGCGUGGGUAUCGAACAGGAUUAGAUACCCCAGUAGUC